rnacentral:tRNA from 2 species
GUUAGGAUGUCUGAUUAAAGUAACAAACUGUAAAUUUGUUUAUGAACUAUUAUUUGUUCUUCUAAU